rnacentral:lncRNA from 1 species
AUGACCUACAGAGCCUUCCUCCUUCAUUUGGACAUGGUUACUGACCAGGGAUCACAGAAGACUACGCAGACUGCCUUGGAAUCGUGUGUGGCUGAAGAGGACAUGGUAAGGAGGUGUCUCAACAAAGUCAUUUACUGGAAAAAUUUGCAGGAUUAGAGCUUAUUCCCCACUUAUAGGAGUAAUCUUGCAUGGUAAGUUUUAUUAUAAGCAGGUAGAGGUUUGCAAGACUACAAAUAACUGUAAAUACAAUUUUGUAACAGAAAUUAUUUUUCACUAGCCUCAUCAGUAUUACUGUUAGCUCCUUCAUGUGUUGAAACUAGCCUUUUAUCUCAUUACAGUUACUAUUUCAAGUUAUUAUUUUUCUGUAUCUUAACACUGUUGCUAAGAACAAAAAAGAGAAAGACUCAGUGUAAAGAAUAAAACUCUCCGAGUGAGAAAAACAUGGGCAAGAUUCCUAGUUAAGAUAUUCCUGAUCAAUCCUGAUUUACCUGUGGAUUUACACAGGUGCAACAGAGAGCAGAAGUACAGCCAUUUAUUCAGCCCAGAUUCAGUCUUUUUACGGGCAAGAAAGGCAAUAUACUUACUUUGGGUCGAGUGUCAACAACAUAUAGGAAAUCACUUCCUGGGUUUGCUUUUCGGAUGGCCUGGAGCAUCUGUUCAUCCUCAAGACAUCGAGCACUAAAGCCAGAUAAAGGCUGGCUGCUCCUACAUAUGGAGGCCUGCAGGAAAAGAAGAAGAAAUAAAUAAAUUAGUAUACUUAUUAAGCAGAAAUGAUUUAGGAUCCAGAAGCAUUUACAAAAGCAGCUUAUUAGACUGUUCACCAUACGUGUACAGUUGCAUGGAAAUGGUAAAAUGAAUUGCAUGUUACUAAAUAAGUUAUUUUUAGAAAGACAAGGGAAUAUUAUGGCAAUAAUACCCCAGUGCCCAGGUCUAAUUUUGAAUCCAACUUUUAGAGCUAUUUUAAAUAUAGACUUUUCCCUCGUGGAGAAUAUCUCCUGAAAGGUGGUCUCUAGAGAACGAUGAGUACAGCACUACAAUCACAAGAGCACUGAUGUAGCAUAAGGAAUGGAUCCCUCUGCACGGUCACUCAUGCUUCAGUUACGAUACCAGUUACACCCAACUUACACCAAUACACACUCUACUAAACAGCCUUAGACAUCAUGAGUCCAGGAAGCAAAAAUGCAUACUGUGCGGCCAGAUCAGUGAUGCUGCUGUAUUUUUAGCACUGCCUCUGGAGAAAGACCUCACAACAUGGGAAGUGGGUCAGGCAGCCUGGCUCCUGGAGCACAUUUAUUAGCCAGAGCUGUUGAAGAAGGCAAAGGAGUUUCUCCCUAAACCCAUUAGGAACAGGCUGCUCAAUGAAACUGGGAAAGAAGGAACUGGAUGUGGAACAGGGAGGUUUUAUUUCCCUGUCACUGCUAGGCAGGGAGCAGCUAGGUUUGUAGGAGGCACAGGGCUAUUGCAUACACUUUCUAAGCACUGAAUGUAAGCAUGAAGAGAAUCUGUACUCUGAAGGUCGUGACCCACACAGACUGCCCUACAGAUUAUUUAUUACUGUGAGAGGGAACAUGCUUGUUUUCAGCCAAGUCUUUGAACUAUCAGGGGUUAGUAAAAUGGGUAUCUUUAAUACAUAAAUUCUGAAUCGUGUGAGAGCCUGUUCAGACACUAAAUGUUAUUUGCAACCAGAUUAUUAGUCAUUUAAUUUUGCCUGCUGAUCAGUGCAGUUCCCAGUGAUUUAAUAUAUGCUAACACCUCUUUUUCAUGAAGCAAAAGAUACUCAUGAAUAUGUUCACAACUUAUUAUUUUAAUAGAAGGAAGACAUUUCACUCUCAACCAUGGUGUGCCACACUUGAGGUAGAUAUGGACAUCAAGACUAAGGCUAAAGUUAGGGUUGUGGAUUAAGGUUCAGAUUGAGGAGUAGAGGGGCUGGAGCUCAUUAUGUUGUGGCACUCUGGGGGCUCAAGGGCUAAGAUAUGUGCUGCCACCAGAAGGAGAGAGCAGCUUGUCUGUCAAGCUAAGAUUGAGGUUAAGAUCAUGUUUAGCCUCAGCUUAUGAAACAGCUGCACUGACAGCAAUGCAAAACUAGAAAGAUAAAUUGACCUAGAUACCCAUUAGGUGUCAAGCAGGAAUCACUAUACGCUAUCUCCAUGAACAGCUUGCCUUCAGCUGACUCAGGCCAAAUGCUUAUGACGAGCCCAUACGUCUGUAACGUUUCUUGGGAUGUGGGGAGGGCAGGAGAUCAGGUCACUUUGUAUCGCACAGGCUGAACAAAUAGUUCCAGGGUUUGAUCUUAGCGUAGCCACAAUGAUCCUGUGAGACGCAGAGUAGUGUCGCAACAUCAUUUGAACUUGGGCGUACCAAAUUACCUACGGGACAGUAGUGGUUAUGAAAGACCUGAAUGAGUGGCAGCCACCCCCCUGCCAGCAGCAGACCUCUUCCCAGCCUGCUGUUACUCUAGUUGUUCAAUGCCUACCUUCACCAAUCUUACCCCACUUCUUUUCCUAGCCCUUUGAACCUUGCAGGUUCCAGGAGGGAACACAGUACUUCAGACGCUGGUGGUCUGAAAGUGAACCUUAGCCUUAAUCUGAACACCAGCUUAAAUGGGGAAAACAUCUAGGUAGAAAUUGGGGAAUACAUCCAAACUGGACAACUAUAUUGCAAUCCAACUGACCCCC